GGGCAGGUCAUCAAGUCUUUCAUUUGGUUCAUGUCAGGUCUCUCGCGUUUUUCUUCCUGUCAAACCACCGAACUGAAGGACGUUGUAUGUAAAAGUACAAUAUUUCCAUAUUUGCGCGCGUCGUGAAAAAGCUUUUUCACAAUGUCAGAUAUGUGGUCCAAGCUCAAUGCAUAAAAAAUAUCAGACAAUGGUUCCUUGUAACGGAGUUAUUGACAACUCACCAUUUUGAAAAGUCUACCGACUGAAGCAACGAUGGCAGUUUUGAUCCUUUGCUGUUCUUCAAUGUACAAAUGAUGGUUCGCAAUUUACAGUCAAUUGACUCGAAAGGACGUCUUGUUGAUCCGUAAAUGUGAGUUUGGCAGUGUUGAAGAAAGCAGAAACAACAUUAGUUUGCGUGUUUUUAUUGUGGUGUAUUGAUAAGACCUUUCAAUUGAAUGAAAUUUGAUAUGCUGCUUCCCCAGGUCAAGCAGUUUUCUUGGCGGGUUCUCAAUCACUUUGUCUUUUUUAAUUUAUUGCAAUUGACAAUGUAGAAGAUUCAAAGUACAUCAAACAAGCAAAAUUCCCAUUAAUAUAAAAGAGAAAAUAACAUGCAAAUAACACAACAUCAAUAAUGUAUGACAGACAGAGAAAUUAAUGAAUAUUCACGACAAUGA